GGGGAUGACUUGGUAUCGAUUAGAGCAGUGAGUUCUAGUUGCAUGUCGGCCUGGGCAUGCCGUUACGCGGCCCAUUUUUUUUAGACGCAAACAAUACAAAUUACGCUCCAGCUUACGCUAAAGCUGCGUAAGUUUAACAACUUAUUGACUCGCCUAACGGCUUGAGUCUCGGAGACUCGCACCACUGAUUCUAUCUAAGUGGAGCUCGCGGGUUCAACCCAGAUAGAUUAUCUACAAAGAUGUGAUUGAUUUUUGUAGAGACAUUUUUAAUCUUAGCUAUAUGAUUGCCUUUGGGAGUUGAGCUGUCAUUUAGUGAAAUUUUUCAACUCUUCUAAGCAUGUAGACGCUAUUAUGACCUGUUUUAAGACUGGAGUUCGACUCUCCACAUCUCCACCA
rnacentral:tmRNA from 2 species